AACCUGCAGUUGAGUGGUGUAGGGGAUAGUCCUCUGCAUGUAGCCAUAUUGGCAUGUCCUUAUCUUGAGGUUGAGAGUUCGAAUCCUAAGGCUGGGUCACUCACUUUUUUGGUUGUUUUAGUUGUUUUUUUAAUUGUUUACCAGCUUCUGCUUUGUGUAAAGAAGAACCCAUCCAUGUCAGAACCAUAGAAACCCUAUUUUAUUAAAAUGUAACAUAAAAUACAAACUUCUCUAAAAAUGGUGAAUCUGUCAAUGGGGGAUAGAUUUACUCAACACCAUGUGACCAUCAAACCACAACUGACAACUUGGCAUGGAAAAAUGUGUCUAUCAACCUCACUUCAAGGCAGCCGAUAUGGGACCACCAGAACUCUAUGAUCCAUCAGCUCUACUCAACACUCCAAAGGAUAAACAACUGACUGUGUUGUGAAGUCUGACACUAUUUUGGGAGAAAUGUUAUUGUAAGUUAGGCUAUAUGGAUCUCCUUCAGCCACCAACUCCUAAUAAAAGAUUCAGAAAUGGACAACAAAUAAAUGACUAAAUUGCCUAA